CUCAGGACGAACGCUGGCGGCGUGCCUAAUACAUGCAAGUCGAACGCUUCUUUCCUCCCGAGUGCUUGCACUCAAUUGGAAAGAGGAGUGGCGGACGGGUGAGUAACACGUGGGUAACCUACCCAUCAGAGGGGGAUAACACUUGGAAACAGGUGCUAAUACCGCAUAACAGUUUAUGCCGCAUGGCAUAAGAGUGAAAGGCGCUUUCGGGUGUCGCUGAUGGAUGGACCCGCGGUGCAUUAGCUAGUUGGUGAGGUAACGGCUCACCAAGGCCACGAUGCAUAGCCGACCUGAGAGGGUGAUCGGCCACACUGGGACUGAGACACGGCCCAGACUCCUACGGGAGGCAGCAGUAGGGAAUCUUCGGCAAUGGACGAAAGUCUGACCGAGCAACGCCGCGUGAGUGAAGAAGGUUUUCGGAUCGUAAAACUCUGUUGUUAGAGAAGAACAAGGACGUUAGUAACUGAACGUCCCCUGACGGUAUCUAACCAGAAAGCCACGGCUAACUACGUGCCAGCAGCCGCGGUAAUACGUAGGUGGCAAGCGUUGUCCGGAUUUAUUGGGCGUAAAGCGAGCGCAGGCGGUUUCUUAAGUCUGAUGUGAAAGCCCCCGGCUCAACCGGGGAGGGUCAUUGGAAACUGGGAGACUUGAGUGCAGAAGAGGAGAGUGGAAUUCCAUGUGUAGCGGUGAAAUGCGUAGAUAUAUGGAGGAACACCAGUGGCGAAGGCGGCUCUCUGGUCUGUAACUGACGCUGAGGCUCGAAAGCGUGGGGAGCAAACAGGAUUA
rnacentral:rRNA from 1 species